rnacentral:rRNA from 1 species
GUGGGGAAUCUUAGACAAUGGGCGCAAGCCUGAUCUAGCCAUGCAGCGUGAGCGAUGAAGGCCUUAGGGUUGUAAAGCUCUUUCAGGGGGGAAGAUAAUGACGGUAACCGGAGAAGAAGCCCCGGCUAACUUCGUGCCAGCAGCCGCGGUAAUACGAAGGGGGCUAGCGUUGUUCGGAAUUACUGGGCGUAAAGCGCACGUAGGCGGACAUUUAAGUCAGGGGUGAAAUCCCAGAGCUCAACUCUGGAACUGCCUUUGAUACUGGGUGUCUUGAGUAUGGAAGAGGUAAGUGGAAUUCCGAGUGUAGAGGUGAAAUUCGUAGAUAUUCGGAGGAACACCAGUGGCGAAGGCGGCUUACUGGUCCAUUACUGACGCUGAGGUGCGAAAGCGUGGGGAGCAAACAGGAUUAGAAACCCGGGUAGUCC